CCAGACUUGGACUUGGUUAAUCAUCUGGGGUUCUCCCCAGUGCACUUUUCCAGUUCAGGCCAGCAUCAGUUUGGGCGGUUGGAUAAAGGUCUCUGUCAUGUACCUCUCUUCGGGGAGAACUUAUAGGGGAGACGACAUGCAACCAGCCUGGACUGAGGUCCGCGCAUCUGCUAGGAUGCUGGCGUAAUGGCUGUAAGCGG
rnacentral:rRNA from 1 species